UAUAAUAACGUAUUUGAAAUACGUAUAAUUUAUUGAUAAGUCAGAUAGUUAAGUCAGAUUGUGUAUUCUUUGGGAAAGUACAAAUUCUCAAAAGCGGAGAAACGGUUCCCUUCAAAUCGAUUGAGAAUUAAUCCGACUGCUAUCACGUUUCGCAAACGUCACUCCAUUGUCUCAUUGUCCAUUGGAGUGAGAGAUAGCGAUGGAGCGGUAGAGAACGAGAGAUGACUUUCCUUCGUUCCUAUCUUGCCUCCUUUUGAGAUCCCGUCUCGAUCCUAUUGGAGGCCAGGGGGAUUCUCUGUUCUUCUAUAGCCAACUAAUGCUACUGGACGAGAGAAUUGAAACUAUGACCUGUAUCCGACUCAUUUCACCGAUUGCUUUUAUCACUUUUUCUAUAUUUAUUAAACUUUUCUGUAUCAUUCAAAGUUUCGAUCGAAAGAAUGCAUAUAAAAUGUGUAGUAAAAUGAGAAAAAAAAGACGCAACAAAAAAAUGUCUUCUACGAGUAAGUCCCUGUAUUUUUUUAUAUUAUAUAAAUGAUUAUCUCAUAGUUUCUUUGUAUUCUAUAUAACAAAAAAUUAAAUAUAAACUUUGUCUUUGUAGAUCUCGAUUAUGAAAUGGCUUCUUGAUUGAAUUCUCGUUUGCCUGCCUCUCGUUCCUCGGUUCGAUCGGCUGUUAUCAGUAAAACAUUAAACGGACAAAGAACAGAACAUGGCUACAGACUAUAUAGAUCAGAUAGAUCGUUCCCGAUGAUCAGGGUACAUGGAGAUUCCUCGGAUAUAUCCGCGUCGCUGAAAAAGGGCGUCAUGCAUGGCUCGCACUAGGGUGUCAUCUGCACCCUCCACAACAUGACCAGUUCUGUAGACGAUCUUCACGGUCAAUAUAACGGAUGUCGUAAAAUCAAUUAGUGGCGAAUUGUGCCGCAGCCCGGAUCGUGUGCACUGUACAUGCAGCUCAUAAAAUUCUCCCCCCUUUUUUUUUUUGUGAUCUUUUUGAAUUACUCUGUGCAUCGGUUCCAGUCGAUGAUCAUUUCUUAUCAAAGUAUAUAUACAGUUUUUAAAACUUAUCUAUGAUAUUAUACAUGUUAAAUUUAAUACUUUGUUAAAUUUCUCAUUUGCAAUAGAAAUAUGAUAUUAUUUCUGUGAGUCGCUUUUAUAUCAUUCCGACAAUAGCUUAGUUAAUAUUGACUUUUGAAUGGUCCAAUCUUUAGAAAGAGAGCCUUUCCUUUUAGCGUGUUUCAGCAUGCAGUAAAUAUUAUCAGGAAUACCAUCCCCGCAUAGAGAGUCCAACGACAUUCUGACAAAUCUUUGGGGUCGACGUCGUAACCGAUUGAAAGAAUUUUCCGUGACGACUCGUUCAUUGUGCGUGUUUACUAGCUAAGCGAUUUUCUCGUUGUAGAAAGGUGGUCGAAAUAUCUUUCAGAGAUACAAUGGAAAAAACUUGUAACAUUGAAAAUCAUGGAAUCAAAAGAUUUUUAGGGAGGGAAAUUUAUUUGUGUUAUUCACAGAGAUUGCAGUAGCAGCAACGAUUUAGAUCUCGGUAAAUUGUACAAGUUUUUAUCAUCCGAGAGACGUAUAUCUAUGAAAAAGAGAAAUAGUCCACGUAAAACUUUAACGUCCUUUGUGCGAACGUCACCCGUUACAACGCAACGUUGCUUUGGCUAAGAGCCGGUAAAAGUCGAAAUGAAGGAAGUUCUCCUCUGAAUUCUAUUUCCUUCGUCAAGCGGUUUGCAGCCUUGCCUAUCUGUUUUCUCUUCGCUUCUCACCCCUCUAUCUUUUCUCUUCCUCACAGCCUUCCUUACUACCCAGAUAAUUUAACCAUUUCCAGCAAUAAAUCAAGUAAUUUUCAUUUAUAAUUACAAGCACGGUGAUUUUAUGUAACCUUUGCAAAUUAUUUCUUCUAAAUUGUUUCAUCAACGUACAAUCAACUUAUUAACUUCUUAAUAAUUGUAAUCACAGUUUAAGACACUUUCUGCUUAUUCAUAUUUUGCACGUAGGUUAUCUUGAUACUACUCCACUAAUCUGUGACGAUUAACCCAAAAUACUCAUGGGAGGAGUAAUAGGAAUAGGAACCGAAGGGAAGACGCGCAUAUGAAAUUCAUCCUUCAAAGUUGGAGGAGUGAAAGAAAAGGUUCUCCUUGUGGCUACAACUCACAACUUACAAUUCGGUGGCUACACCCUUUCAUGAACGCGCGGUUCAACCACUCGUGACCCGACCAACUUCGCCCCAAGUGGGAAGGGAACAAUCACUGUAUGAAAGUCGAGUCAAUGCUAUAACAACGAGACGAUCCGCAAAUAAAGAGGAUCUGCAGGAAAUCUGCAAACACGAGCGAAGCAAACGGGCCGCUCCAUUAAUAUUCCCUCGUACGAUCCGAAUAAGGAACGCGCGGUGGACCGAGAGACUCCCCGACCGAAGCUAUAAAAAUUAAUUAGCUCUUAGAAGAAGAGACUGGCUUCUAUAUACCCAUGACUCGUUCACCAAAACUGUGAGACCAUCCUCCUCUAGGAGGAAACGACCUUACUUCGUUAUUCGAAGGAAUAUCCAACGGUUCCUGUCAUGGAUCCUCGAUGAAUGAUCGAUACGAUAUCCCUCGAACGGGCUUCGAUCCGGACCCUUUUCGUUGUUGCAACGUAUAAUUAGUCAUUGAUUCCUCGUGGUUCGUGGAACGAUUCGAUCUUGGAAACAUUUUGUCAAGAUUAUUUUUUACUCGUUUUACAUCGUGUCUAACAGAUGAUUCAUCGUGGUUUCGAAUUUUGAAAGGAGUGAUGAAACGAGUGUUUUUUUUUUAUCAAGAAAAUUUAAAUACACAUGAAACACGUCUAAAUAAGACGUUUAAUUUUAAUAUCGAUUUCCUUGAGAAGAUUUUUUUCCACU
rnacentral:lncRNA from 1 species